rnacentral:lncRNA from 1 species
AUGAGCAACAGGCUUCUCUGCUGUGUGAUCAUUUGUCUCCUAAGAGCAGGCCUCAAAGAUGCUGUAGUUACACAAUUCCCAAGACACAGAAUCAUUGGGACAGGAAAGGAAUUCAUUCUACAGUGUUCCCAGAAUAUGAAUCAUGUUACAAUGUACUGGUAUCGACAGGACCCAGGACUUGGACUGAAGCUGGUCUAUUAUUCACCUGGCACUGGGAGCACUGAAAAAGGAGAUAUCUCUGAGGGGUAUCAUGUUUCUUGAAAUACUAUAGCAUCUUUUCCCCUGACCCUGAAGUCUGCCAGCACCAACCAGACAUCUGUGUAUCUCUAUGCCAGCAGUUCAUC